rnacentral:ncRNA from 1 species
AUGAUUCUGCCACCGGGUAGGAGAUGCAUUAUAAAGCAUCCGUUUACACAUCGUUAGGUCUUUGAAGAUGUGUAUGCGGAUGCUUUUUUUCG